rnacentral:lncRNA from 1 species
AGAGUUCGAGUGUCGUUUUAAGAGACUUUUGAAGAAAUCAUUCUAAGCUUUCGACGACUCUUGUUGAUGAAAUUGAUGCAGAUGCGUGGCUUAUAUAAUGGCAAGAAAAAUGAUUCUGGUAAUGUCCUUUCUUAACUUCUACAAGUGACUCUACUUCGAGAGAGUUUCAGAAGCUUCUACCACCUUAGAUUAGGCUUUUCCAGAUCAUUACCCCCCAUUCCCACACGCAUGCCAAAAUAUAGAAGAGUGCUUGGAGCCAUGACCCCACCUGAAAGAAGAGGUAUUUAUGACUUCAUCCUUUGAUUUCUACCAGAAUUCCUGUGUAUUGGGUUGUUAAAAACAUUCAUGAUCUGACCUUUUAUUAUUUCACUCUCUAUUGAAUUAUAUUUUCCCUGCUACAAAUUUACCCCCAGUAGCAUGUACAUACUGCACAUUGACAAGUCAUUUAUGAUAGUAGUGCGUUCCAAAUCAUGGCGCCACUGCAAAUAUACUGAAAACCAAGUGCAGCCAAUAAAUUGCCCAUUAAAGGGUCUGGAGUAUUCUGAAGAUUUACACUCUAAGCUUUGAAUAUUUUUUUAAAAUAAACUCCAAAUACAGGGUUGAUGAGGAGAUUAGGUUAGAAGAGCAAUACAUCCCUACCGGUCUGUCAGAUCUAGCCAUUAUAAGAUGUGGCCCAUCAGGGGGCUGGAAGACAUUCUCUCUCCAAGUGGAUUCUGGAAAUUCAUGGAGCCUCUUAGUUUUGGUGGUGGAAGGGGACCCAAUUAGUGAAAGGGUCCUUACAUUUAAAGGCAUUACAAACAUUUCAAUAUAAGAGAUAAUAGAUUAAUUAGAACUGGGUGAAGGAGACAUUAAGCCCAGGGUGGAAAAUGCUUAUUCUAAUUGUAUUCAAUUUGUAAUUAAAUUCACCCUUGGUAUUAGCUGAAAUUUCUCAAAAGCUGGAAUACCCAGAGUUUGAGUCAUUUAGGAUAAUAUCAGGAAGAUGAGACAUCUGGAACAUUAAAUCAGGCAGCAAAUAGAAAGGCUACAUCACGCCAUAGACCAAAUUAAACUUCUCACAAUAUUAACUAAGACGAGUUGCAGAGGGGGACUCCACAUUAUUUACUUAGAACAACAUAAGCCAAGUUAUUCGCAGAGGGAACAGCUAGUUUUCUCUAUGCCUGCAUUGUCUUGUGAAUAUAGUCAUCCAGCUCUAUGAAGUUCUUGACAGCAAAUUCUUUUAUUACGUUUGGAUCAGGAAUCUCUGCACUUGCCUUCUCAAAGUCACAGGUCCAUUUCACCAAGCUCCCAUCUCCCUUUGGAGUGAUAACCAGUGUGGCCUUGAAAUUCUUGUAAU